CUUUUUUUCCCCCACUGUGCCUGCCACGUCAUCGAACAAAUUGACAACUGACUCUGGAGCUUCACAGAGAUUUUGUGAACUGGGACAAGACAAGUUUGAGCUGCCUGUCAUCAUUGCACCACAGAAACCACGUACACUCUGGGAGAAAUAGUAAACAUGGCCGUGAACUCUUGAGCUCUUAUUUCUUUAUCAAAUAUCCACUGUUUCCCCACCCCCCCCAAGAAGAGAAAAGUGUGAAAUUAAAUGAUGG
rnacentral:lncRNA from 1 species